AAUCAACGCUGGCGGCGUGCCUCAGACAUGCAAGUCGAACGCUGCUGUUCGCCUUCGGGUGGACAGCGGAGUGGCGCACGGGUGAGUAACACGUAGGUAAUCUACCUUUGGGUGGGGAAUAACAGCCGGAAACGGCUGCUAAUACCGCAUAAUGCAGCGGCAUCACAUGAUGACAGUUGUUAAAGCGAGGGAUCGUAAGACCUCGCGCCUGAAGAGGAGCCUGCGUCAGAUUAGGUAGUUGGUGAGGUAAUGGCUCACCAAGCCUGCGAUCUGUAACCGGCCUGAGAGGGCGGUCGGUCACACUGACACUGACAUACGGGUCAGACUCC
rnacentral:rRNA from 1 species